GACGAACGCUGGCGGCGUGCUUAACACAUGCAAGUUGAACGGAAAGGCCCUGCUUUUGUGGGGUGCUCGAGUGGCGAACGGGUGAGUAACACGUGAGUAGCCUGCCCUUGACUUUGGGAUAACUUCAGGAAACUGGGGCUAAUACCGGAUAGGAGCUCCUGCUGCAUGGUGGGGGUUGGAAAGUUUCGGCGGUUGGGGAUGGACUCGCGGCUUAUCAGCUUGUUGGUGGGGUAGUGGCUUACCAAGGCUUUGACGGGUAGCCGGCCUGAGAGGGUGACCGGCCACAUUGGGACUGAGAUACGGCCCAGACUCCUACGGGAGGCAGCAGUGGGGAAUAUUGCACAAUGGGCGGAAGCCUGAUGCAGCAACGCCGCGUGCGGGAUGACGGCCUUCGGGUUGGAAACCGCUUUCGCCUGUGACGAAGCGUGAGUGACGGUAAUGGGUAAAGAAGCACCGGCUAACUACGU
rnacentral:rRNA from 1 species